rnacentral:rRNA from 1 species
CCUACGGGAGGCAGCAGUGGGGAAUUUUGGACAAUGGGGGCAACCCUGAUCCAGCCAUGCCGCGUGUGUGAAGAAGGCCUUCGGGUUGUAAAGCGCUUUCGGCCGGAACGAAAUCGCGCGACCUAAUAAGUCGCGUGGAUGACGGUACCGGAAGAAGAAGCACCGGCUAACUACGUGCCAGCAGCCGCGGUAAUACGUAGGGUGCGAGCGUUAAUCGGAAUUACUGGGCGUAAAGUGUGCGCAGGUGGCCGCGCAAGUCGAGUGUGAAAUCCCCGAGCUUAACUUGGGAAUUGCGCUCGAAACUACGUGGCUCGAGUGUGGCAGAGGAAGGUGGAAUUCCACGUGUAGCGGUGAAAUGCGUAGAGAUGUGGAGGAACACCGAUGGCGAAGGCAGCCUUCUGGGCCAACACUGACGCUCAUGCACGAAAGCGUGGGGAGCAAACAGGAUUAGAUACCCUGGUAGUCCACGCCCUAAACGAUGAUGACUAGUUGUUGGGGGAGUUAAAUCCCUUAGUAACGCAGCUAACGCGUGAAGUCAUCCGCCUGGGGAGUACGGUCGCAAGAUUAAAACUCAAAGGAAUUGACGG